UGGUUCUCUUACGAUCACCGAAGUUAAGCGACGUCGAGCCUGGUCAGUACCUAGAUGGGUGACUGCUUGGGAAUGCUAGGUGCUGU